CCUACGGGAGGCAGCAGUGGGGAAUUUUUCACAAUGGGGGAAACCCUGAUGGAGCGACGCCGCGUGGAGGAUGAAGGUCUUCGGAUUGUAAACUCCUGUCAUGCGGGAACAAGAAAGUGAUAGUACCGCAAGAGGAAGAGACGGCUAACUCUGUGCCAGCAGCCGCGGUAAUACAGAGGUCUCAAGCGUUGUUCGGAUUCAUUGGGCGUAAAGGGUGCGCAGGCGGUGUGGAUAGUUGAGUGUGAAAUCCUGGGGCUUAACCUCAGAACUGCACUCAAUACUCCCAUGCUAGAGGAAUGUAGAGGAGAGUGGAAUUCACGGUGUAGCAGUGAAAUGCGUAGAUAUCGUGAGGAAGACCAGUUGCGAAGGCGACUCUCUGGGCAUUUCCUGACGCUCAUGCGCGAAGGCCAGGGGAGCAAACGGGCUUAGAUACCCCUGUAGUC
rnacentral:rRNA from 1 species